GGAGCAUCCGGCUUGGACGGCAAGCCCGGAAUUAGGGGCCAGGACGGGCCUGUGGGGCCAGCGGGGCCGGCGGGGCCAAAGGGCGACAUCGGUGAGAGAGGAGCGUCAGGCGAUCCAGGACCAAGGGGCCCUUACGGACUUCCUGGAGCUGCUGGAACACCAGGCCUGGAUGGUUUCCGGGGAUUUAAGGGUGAAAAGGGGGAACCAGGGCAGCCAGGUCUGGACGGGCUGGAUGCCCCAUGCCAAUUGGGCCCAGAUGGAUUACCAAUGCCUGGAUGCUGGCAGAAGUGAUCACUCUAACCCGAAACGCAUGGAGUUUGUAAAUAAUGCUUCUUUUAUGGUAUUUAUAGUUUUUUUAAUGGAAAAUGUCUAAAAGAAAAAAGAAGUCUAUGUGUACAAUGAUACGUCCCGAGUUACCCGCCCUAAGCUGCUUCUACUCACAUCACCGUGUGGAAAAACAACCGUGUGUGUCCGCUCUCACAUCCACAUCGUGGUGGAGUUCAGAUCCUCGGCUGGCGGCAGAACUUGUCUCUGUGGUCUUUGCAUGGCUCAGACUGCAGCGCCGCACACUCACGGUGGCGUGGAAGGAGGAAGAGGAAGAGGAGGAGGAUCUGGACUGGCUCUCUAACACCAAACGCUACAUGUUUUGUGUUGUUUUGGUCUCAACACCGCCCAUUCAUGCAGCAACAUUUUCUAAAAGACUAAAAAAAAGAAGAAAAACUGUGCCAAACAGAACAUUGCACCCCUGCCCCUGCAAACGCAUGCAAAUUAUAUUUAUAUGUAUUGUACAUACAUGUCACUGUUUUGUGGUCGGCUUCUGCAGAAAAAGAAAAACACUAACAUAAAUCACA